rnacentral:rRNA from 1 species
GGCCUUUUGAGUAUAAUUUAAGGUUGAGCCUGCCCUAUGAGGAUUUAAAUGGCCGCAGUAUUUUGACUGUGCAAAGGUAGCAUAAUCAAUAGUUUUUUAAUUGAAAGCUGGAAUGAAUGGUUUGAUGAGAAAAUUACUGUCUCUGUAAAAAUUUAGUAGAAAUUUAUUUUUAAGUUAGAAAGCUUAAAUGAUUAUAGAAGACGAGAAGACCCUAUAGAAUUUAAUAUUUUAUUUUAAUAUAAUAAUAAAUAGAAUUUUUAUUUAUUUAUUAUUUAAAAUAUUUAGUUGGGGUGAUUGAAAAAUUUAAUUAACUUUUUUUUAGAUUAAAUCACUAAUUGGUGAAUGGUGGAACCUUAGAAGAGAUUGAAAGAUUAAAUUACCUUAGGGAUAACAGCGUAAUUUUUUUUAGAGUUCUUAUCGAAAAAGAAGAUUGCGACCUCGAUGUUGGAUUAAAAUUUAAUAUUGGUGUAGAAGCUAAUAAAUUUGGUCUGUUCGACCAUUGAAAUUUUACAUGAUCUGAGUUUAAACCGGCGUGAG